AUAUUUUGUGUAUACCAACACUGAUUGGAACCAUACAGGUAAGAUUAAUAUGGACCCUAAACAAAGAUGACAUGCAAAUUCAUGAAGUGUUCUAUGUUAUA
ensembl:snRNA U6 U6 spliceosomal RNA